CACGACUGGUGAAAAGGUCUUUUCUGAGGCGAUGCAGAGCCUGUAUUCGUGCCGAAGGAAAGCAAUUUGAGCAUUUACUUUAGUUUUAAGGAGGAAAUAAUUAAAUUAAAGUUUUACGAUAGUUAAUUGAUUCAUUUUGAUUAGUUUGACUCUCUUACUUACCUCUUUGCUAAUAAUAAUAGAAAUAAAAAUAUUUUUUUCAGACUAUUUUGUCAAUAAUUAUAAAAAUUUGCUAAAGUUGAGUUGUUCGCAAUGAGGUCCAUUUGCAAAAAAAAUUAAAAAUAACAUUUUUAAAGGAAAGAAAAGUGGCAAGUGUUGCACCAUUUUGAAAUCUUGAGUAAAUGGGUCAUCUUUUGAAAUAAGUUGCCAAGUGUAGUAUAGUACUUUUUUUUUCCAAAAUGAAGUGUCAAAGUUAACUGACAAAAUUUUUGUAAACCAUGACUCAAUGAAACUUAAUUCAUUUUACUAAAUUAACAAUGUUUAUUAUGUUUAUUUGUAGUUGCGAUUUAUAGCACGGUUAUUCUAGAUUACUUCAUUAAAAAAAUCACUGCCAAAUUAUGAAAUUUGUGAUCACAGUACUUAAAAAUGCGACCAAGGGUGUCAAUUUUCAACUUUUUUGAUAAAUGUCUAUUACUACUUAGCUAAAUGACAUAGAAUUUUUUUCUUAUUUUUCCCAGAACUGGUAUGAAUUGGCCUCUCGGCCGGUACCAUUUUAUCGUCAAGUUUUGGGACACCCUGUAUAUGAUUCAGAUGGAAUUGUGAGUUUUUUCUCUUUGAUUUUUUUAAGCUAACUUUUGUUUUUUAUUAAAUUGAAAGUUGACCUGUCCUGGCUUCGCACGGGUAGGUCCAUUAGAUAAUAAAGCGUCCUUCAAUUAAAAUUUUCAAAUUAUAUUUAAUAUACAGAAUUCGUCCAGUUACAGUUUUAUUAUAUUACAGACAAUAUACCUAUAUAUUUUUGUAAGAUUUUUAGUUAUUUUGUUUCAACAGAUCCCAAGUUCAUCAGAAUACAAAGAUAUUAUGACAAGUACAGGUAGUACUUGCAUAAUAACUGCAACGUCCAUCAUUGACCAUGGCAAUUCUAGCGAAACAUGUGCAAUUACAAUACAGGACCCAAAACCAAUUACAUAUCUGAUUAAAGAUUCGGAAACAUGUACAAAUUAUGACAGUCAGCAGAUUUUUACAAUUAAGUACAGCAAAUGUGGUUCAAAACGAAAUCUGAGUACCAAAGUUUGCAAAUAAAAUUGGAUGUGACAGUAAACCUAAGAAGUAUCUAUUCCGUUAUCCACCGAUCGUUAUUCACCGUUCGUUAUCCACCGUUUUCAUCUUUUAACGCAACAUUUAAUAAUUUAUCAUGCGGAUUUUCUUUAAAAAUAUCAUUAUGGAUCGUGAAUGAGGAUCACGUGUUAGGAGUUAUAUCGGAUCCCAUCCCAAGAAUUGUGCGAUGGAAUGCUGUUUUCGGCCUGCGAAAUUAGUUAUAUAUUCGUCAUGUGCCUAGCUGAUCGUAAAUUUUAACAAUUUUGUGAUUUUUUUUUUUAAAUCUUUAUUUAUUUUAAUGAACUUGUAUACAAUUUGUACAUGUCAGUUCUAUAGUACUUAAACCUAGAUUAAACUAAUUAACAAUUGACUUAAUAAUUUUCUUAAUUUAUUUUCAUAACCUCGUGUGUGGCCAUGUGGCUCAGGUUACCCUAAGUUUGUUUUAUUUUAAAUCUUUGUAAUGAGUAUCCUAUAUAUAUAAAAUUAAGAUAAAACAUAGAACAAAGAGACGUUAUUAUAAAUUUUCGUAUUUUUUUUCCUUUUGUAAAUAAAACCUCUUAUAAAAUUUUGGAAAUUUAAUAAAUUUAUUUUAAAUUCUAAAUAUAUUUCUUUGAUUUUUAUUCACCAAUCUUUGUUACGAUUGUCGGCUCGAAUAGAGAGCACGGCUAGGUAGACCAAAUCCCUGGCUUGUGAUUAAAAGUUCAGGCCUCUGCGAGACUAUCCGAGCAUAUUUAUAUCCCAGCUGGCUGGCGCCCGAAGGUUUUCUUGUAUCCAUUUUCCUUUUCUAUUUUGUCAACUGGAAGUAAGAAUUCAUUUUUUUUAUUUUUAUUUAUUAACUUAAUUUACAUU